rnacentral:lncRNA from 1 species
CCAGUCCUGAGCAGCAGCUCCUGUUUGCAGAAUACAGAGCCCGUGAUUAAUCCUGGCCAUAAGGAUGAUUCAGGAUGAAACUGCGAAGCAGAGCAAAACCUUUUUUCUGCCUCCUUCAACUCAGUGGACUGAGCUCCUCUGUGGAUUUCACUCCAGGGAGCCGUGGAAGAGCUGGCCUGUUCUCAUGGAGCAACCUGCAGGAAGACAUAACAAAGACUAACAGAACUCUGAAGUAGAUGACCUGCAGCCACAUUAAUAAUUGAUCAUGUUAGCAGUUGAUGAGUUGUGCUAAAUUGAUCUGUGGCGAGAUAAUGUGAAUUAAAAGCUGCUUAAAUAUUUAGUUUUGGGCUCUUUCUAAAUGGCAGGAAUUUGAACUAAAGGCUACACAGGAGUCAUGACUGGAAUCAACUUUUCAAUGCAGAUGGAUGCCAUUAGAAAGGUUUUUACUUCGAAUGUGUGCGGCUUGUCCACAUGGCUGAGAUUAGUGCUCAAUGCUCAUAUAAUGCUUUUCAUCCUCCAAAGGACUUUACAAGCUCCAGCCCUCAAAACACCCCCACAAGGUA